CAAUGUUUUUUAGAAAGUUCAGGGUCAUCCUUGGUUACAUACCAAGUUUGAGGCUAGCCUAGGCUACAUUAAACCGUGUCUCAACAUAGAAAGAAAGAAGAUAGAGGAAGGGAGGCCAAGCACAGUGUCACAGCCAGUCCUUGAUAGCUGCCACUUUCAUGCAUGCUGUAAUACCAGUUUUCUGCAGCAUAGAAACUCAAAGGAUGGAACCCACUGUCCGCUCCAUCUAGCAAUGGAGAUGAACUGCUCCCUGACUUCAGAGCUGUUUCACCAACCUCCACAGGAUAGCCCGGGACUUAGGGUACUACCCAGGACUUAGGGUACCACCCAGCUCUGGGACUUGGGCCACUUGUAUCUUUCUUUCAACUCAUCACAGGUGUCUGUUAUGGGGGAGAGAUGUAAAGUUGUGUGAGAUAUGCUAGAGCCUGGUUAGAUCAGGGCUUAGGGACACCAGAGUUCAGAGACUCGGGGUUAAUUGCAGUUUCCUCACAGGAAGCUGGAGCAGGUGCAUCGCAGCUUCAUGGACGAAAAGGAUCGGAUCAUCACAGCCAUCUACAAUGACACUCGGGCCAGGGCCAGGGCCAACAGAGCCAGGAUUCAGCAGAAGCACCAGCAGAGGCAGCCUCCAACAGAACCCUCUCUGCCUCCAGAAAGUUCCAGGAUCAUGCCCCAGGACACAAGCCAGUGAGAGGCUUACCUAGGUGGGACCUGUAUUGGUCCUCCCCUUGCUGCCUGUCUAGGACUACACGUGCAAUAAACUCAUAUUC
rnacentral:lncRNA from 1 species